AAGAGAGCAGUUCUCUCUAGUCCAGAUUUCUGGAAGACUUGGAAGUAUUCAUUGCUUUUUCACACCUUUUAGGUCUGAAAAACAAAAUCAACCCCAAAACCACCUUAUAGAUAAACUUUUCUAUAUAAUAAAAGCAAUGAAUACUUUUAAUCCAAGUAUUCCAAUUUCGGACAGAAAAUUCGCAUCCAUCGAACUGAUGAGA